UGUUUCGGCUAGGGGGUCAUCCCGACUUACCAACCCGAUGCAAACUACGAAUACCGAAGAAUGUUAUCACGGGAGACACACGGCGGGUGCUAACGUCCGUCGUGAAGAGGGAAACAACCCAGACCGCCAGCUAAGGUCCCAAAGUCAUGGUUAAGUGGGAAACGAUGUGGGAAGGCCCAGACAGCCAGGAUGUUGGCUUAGAAGCAGCCAUCAUUUAAAGAAAGCGUAAUAGCUCACUGGUCGAGUCGGCCUGCGCGGAAGAUGUAACGGGGCUAAACCAUGCACCGAAGCUGCGGCAGCGACACUAUGUGUUGUUGGGUAGGGGAGCGUUCUGUAAGCCGUUGAAGGUGGCCUGUGAGGGUUGCUGGAGGUAUCAGAAGUGCGAAUGCUGACAUAAGUAACGAUAAUGCGGGUGAAAAACCCGCACGCCGGAAGACCAAGGGUUCCUGUCCAACGUUAAUCGGGGCAGGGUGAGUCGACCCCUAAGGCGAGGCCGAAAGGCGUAGUCGAUGGGAAACAGGUUAAUAUUCCUGUACUUGGUGUUACUGCGAAGGGGGGACGGAGAAGGCUAUGUUGGCCGGGCGACGGUUGUCCCGGUUUAAGCAUGUAGGCGGAUGUUCCAGGUAAAUCCGGAACGUCACUAACGCUGAGGUGUGAUGACGAGGCACUACGGUGCUGAAGUGACAAAUGCCCUGCUUCCAGGAAAAGCCUCUAAGCAUCAGGUAACAUCAAAUCGUACCCCAAACCGACACAGGUGGUCAGGUAGAGAAUACCAAGGCGCUUGAGAGAACUCGGGUGAAGGAACUAGGCAAAAUGGUGCCGUAA
rnacentral:rRNA from 1 species